AAAAGGAUGUGUAUUACAUUCUAAAACAUUUAAAUACAGCGUUCCUGAACAAGUACAAGAUGGAUGGACAUUUUAUCUUUUGGUAGUUACGAAAAACAGGUGUCCAUCAGACAUAGAUGGUUUUAUGCACUAUCGCCAUCUUGAUUUGUGUUACAACUUUAACCCAGAACAUUAUAUCGACUAUCCUGGACACAUCCAACAAACGUGUUCGUCAUAUGGUGGAGAAUUACUGAGGAUUGAUUCACAGGAGCGCCAAACGUAUAUAGAGCAUAUUCUCG